CAGUAGCCGCGGUAAUACGAAGGGGGCUAGCGUUGCUCGGAAUGACUGGGCAUAAAGGGCGCGUAGGCGGAUUGUUUAGUUAGGCGUGAAAUUCCUGGGCUUAACCUGGGGACUGCGCUUAAUACUUGGUUGCUUGAGUGGGGAAGAGGGUCGUGGAAUUCCCAGUGUAGAGGUGAAAUUCGUAGAUAUUGGGAAGAACACCGGUGGCGAAGGCGGCGACCUGGUCCUUGACUGACGCUGAGGCGCGAAAGCGUGGGGAGCAAACAGGAUUAGAUACCCCCGUAGUCCCUGUCUCUUAUAC
rnacentral:rRNA from 1 species